rnacentral:lncRNA from 1 species
UUUUUUUUUUUUUUUUGAUAAAAGGUGUGGUAUAGAAUUUAUAUAAGUUAAACUUAGUAGCAAUUUUCUGCAUUUUGACCAGCAGAUAGUAGUUUCUGAGAUCCCAGCAGCAUUUAUAUUGACUUUCCAAAAAUAAGAGGAAUUGAAAGAAAAAUUAUUAUAGACAUAUAUCUCUAAUGGUGAAGAACUAGAAUAACAUCACACUGUUGAAACAGUAAUAAUAAUUAGUAAUUAUAAUUGGUAAUAAUAAUUUAUAAUUAGUUUUAAUUAUUAACAUAUAUGAGAAUUGGUUUGGUAUUGCUAAUUACCCCUUUAUGUUAUAACAAAGAAAGAUGGCAUGGUUGUUUUUACCUAAGAAAUUAUUAAGAUAUUUGCAUGGUGUACAUGGUGGUCUUCAAUGGAUUUAUGGCUUAGUUUAGUGCCUUGAGAGUCACUUCCAGUUGGUUUUUGUUUCUGAGUUUUUCUAGAAUGUGAGACUUAACUUAAAUGCCAGGUAUGGGGCUUAUCAUUUCAGUGGCCACACUCAGAAAUUGAUUCUAUAUCUCAAGAAAGGUAAUAUUUAUGCCGAGAUAAUAGCAAUGAGCUAUUGAGUUAUCACCUUAGGUAUGUUGAUAUAUACCCCAGAUGUAUUUUUGGAGCUGGACUAAACUUGAAUGUACAAUACUAGGUUCCCUAAAUAUUUCUGAUCUGAGAUGAUAAUAAUAGUAGUAUCACUUUAGUCUCAGAGACACAAAGUCAUCUACUAGUUAUCAGUUAAAAUUAAACUGGGUGAUGCUCUAUACCUAAAAGCAGUUCAUACACUCUUGCAUUUAUUCUUCCUAACAGCCUGAGAAUUGGCUUACAUUAUUACAUUUGUUCUAAAAGAUAAGAAAAUGAAGUGCUACGGAGAAAUAAGGCAACUAGUACCUGAACACUCAGGAAAUAAAUGGCUAAAUAGGAAUUUGAAGCCAGGUUUAUAUCACUCCUAAAUCUGCAUCCUUAACAAUUUCACUAAAUGUUCCCUAUGGAGUAGAAUACUCUAGCAUACAGGCUGAUGAGGCGCUUCUUAGCAGAACCCAAGUAGCCUAGUUCAUACAGUCCUUCAUCAGAAAUAUGAGCAGUGCUGAGCAAAAAUAAGUAUAAGUCAUGAACUGAGAUGCCCACCAGAUGUCUGCCUGAUGACAUAAAGUAUGUCCCAACAGGUUUGAAGCCUUAGCAGAUAGGGAAGUUGAGACUUGCUUCCCUUCUGUAAAGUACUCAUUUCUGGUUUUGGCCCCAUAGCUAUGUCAUGGUAUAUCCCCUCAUUAUGAUAAAUCAAUACAGUCCUAGUACUGAGGAGAAAAAUACUCUCACAACCUUGUCAAAGAGCUAAUGAACAUUUACCAAAUACCUGCAGCAAAACGUAAAACCUGAAUAAAGAUUUGUCUGUGUUUUUUUAAAGAUUCUAUUUGUUUAUUUGACAGAGAGACUUGAGUACACAGAAGCAGGGGGAGUGGCAGGCAGAAGGAGAGGGAGAAGCAUCCUGGGAUCAUGACCUGAGCCAAAGGCAGAUACUUAAUCGACUGAGCCAUGCAGAUGCCUCCUGAGUAAAGAUUUGAAGAAAAUUAUUAGAAGGAUAUUACAUGAGGGCAAAUACCACUACAAACAAAGAACAUAACUUUGAGAAUUUUUCAUUCUUGGGAAAUCCCAUCACCACCCUAGAAAUGGCCUUUGACUAUCAGAGUGGCCACUCAUCAGCACAUUAUUUCCUAGUCUAGACUUAUAAUCUGUGAUGUGAAGAGAGAAGGAGUACCACCAAGGGGAGCUUGCUCUCUGGACAGAAGUAUAGGAUCAGAAGCAAUGAAAAUACAGAAGGUCCUGUCUGAGCAUUAAAGUUCUUUCAUGGGGCUGACAUCUGAUUACCUGGAGAAAAAUUCUUUGAACUUUUAAUUUUGAAAAUAGAACUUAUACAAGACAAUGAUAAUAGGAUGAUAGUGUAUUUUUUUCCCCUAGUCCAGUCCAAUACUUGGCAUCAAACAGUGGGGUGAAAAGUAAGAAAAAAAAUCCUGGUCUAAGCUUUUUCUGUAAUUAUCUAAAAUUAUCUAGAUUAAACUUGAAUAUAUCUACUGUACCUCAUUAAGCACACUGUUCCACUGCCUGCCCUUUCUAUCUGAAAAUGUUCUCUCAUUUUCAAAUUGAAUUUCUCCCCCAUUAACUUACUGCUUAGGUAUAUUUUAAUGGCUUUCCUUUCAACGUAAGCCCACUUGUUUUGGCUGUGAAAUUAUCUCAUUUCAUUGUAUAAAGCCCAGCUUCAUUUCUAAUUUUCAGUAAUUGUGUCCAUUUCUAGGUGAAAAAUGUAAGCCCAAACAAAAGGCCUCUUAAAACUGGCCUGUCAUUUUCAAUUCUUUCUCUUCUAGACGCUGGUUGUUAAUUUUCCUUACAAUAAUGCAUGUCUGUUCUCCCUCUCCAACGUACUGUUAUAACUAAUACAGUGAAGCAUCCACACCUUCCUGUGUGAGGUCAUCUCCUGAUAGAAGCUGACAGCUUUACAUAGCAAUAGGCAGGGCAGGUGAAGUAGCCUUCAGGUAACCCAUCACCCAUUUGCCUUCUGAGUAAAAGCCUAAGGAGAACCACAGGCCCAUCCUUAUUUUUGCAUUAACUAGAAAUUCACCUGCUGAAAGAUUUGACACUAGAAACUCUGGGCAAAGAGCACAUUUUAUUUUAAUCCUAAAUAUAUGUUCUGUCACACAGUUAUGAAGCAUCCAUGCACACACACAGACACUUGCAUGCAUGCUUACUCACACACAUAUACUCC